rnacentral:rRNA from 1 species
UUAAGCGACUAAGCGUACACGGUGGAUGCCCUGGCAGUCAGAGGCGAUGAAGGACGUGCUAAUCUGCGAUAAGCGUCGGUAAGGUGAUAUGAACCGUUAUAACCGGCGAUUUCCGAAUGGGGAAACCCAGUGUGAUUCGUCACACUAUCAUUAACUGAAUCCAUAGUUAAUGAGCGAACGGGGAACUGAAACAUCUAAGUACCCCGAGGAAAAGAAAUCAACCGAGGUUCCCCCAGUAGCGGCGAGCGAACGGGGAGCAGCCCAGAGCCUGAAUCAGUGUGUGUGUUAGUGGAAGCGUCUGGAAAGGCGUGCGAUACAGGGUGACAGCCCCGUACACAAAAAUGCACAUAUUGUGAGCUCGAUGAGUAGGGCGGGACACGUGGUAUCCUGUCUGAAUAUGGGGGACCAUCCUCCAAGGCUAAAUACUCCUGACUGACCGAUAGUGAACCAGUACCGUGAGGGAAAGGCGAAAAGAACCCCGGCGAGGGGAGUGAAAAAGAACCUGAAACCGUGUACGUACAAGCAGUGGGAGCACGCUUAGGCGUGUGACUGCGUACCUUUUGUAUAAUGGGUCAGCGACUUAUAUUCUGUAGCAAGGUUAACCGAAUAGGGGAGCCGAAGGGAAACCGAGUCUUAACUGGGCGUUAAGUUGCAGGGUAUAGACCCGAAACCCGGUGAUCUAGCCAUGGGCAGGUUGAAGGUUGGGUAACACUAACUGGAGGACCGAACCGACUAAUGUUGAAAAAUUAGCGGAUGACUUGUGGCUGGGGGUGAAAGGCCAAUCAAACCGGGAGAUAGCUGGUUCUCCCCGAAAGCUAUUUAGGUAGCGCCUCGUGAAUUCAUCUCCGGGGGUAGAGCACUGUUUCGGCAAGGGGGUCAUCCCGACUUACCAACCCGAUGCAAACUGCGAAUACCGGAGAAUGUUAUCACGGGAGACACACGGCGGGUGCUAACGUCCGUCGUGAAGAGGGAAACAACCCAGACCGCCAGCUAAGGUCCCAAAGUCAUGGUUAAGUGGGAAACGAUGUGGGAAGGCCCAGACAGCCAGGAUGUUGGCUUAGAAGCAGCCAUCAUUUAAAGAAAGCGUAAUAGCUCACUGGUCGAGUCGGCCUGCGCGGAAGAUGUAACGGGGCUAAACCAUGCACCGAAGCUGCGGCAGCGACACUAUGUGUUGUUGGGUAGGGGAGCGUUCUGUAAGCCUGUGAAGGUGUACUGUGAGGUAUGCUGGAGGUAUCAGAAGUGCGAAUGCUGACAUAAGUAACGAUAAAGCGGGUGAAAAGCCCGCUCGCCGGAAGACCAAGGGUUCCUGUCCAACGUUAAUCGGGGCAGGGUGAGUCGACCCCUAAGGCGAGGCCGAAAGGCGUAGUCGAUGGGAAACAGGUUAAUAUUCCUGUACUUGGUGUUACUGCGAAGGGGGACGGAGAAGGCUAUGUUGGCCGGGCGACGGUUGUCCCGGUUUAAGCGUGUAGGCUGGUUUUCCAGGCAAAUCCGGAAAACUAAGGCUGAGGCGUGAUGACGAGGCACUACGGUGCUGAAGCAACAAAUGCCCUGCUUCCAGGAAAAGCCUCUAAGCAUCAGGUAACAUCAAAUCGUACCCCAAACCGACACAGGUGGUCAGGUAGAGAAUACCAAGGCGCUUGAGAGAACUCGGGUGAAGGAACUAGGCAAAAUGGUGCCGUAACUUCGGGAGAAGGCACGCUGAUAUGUAGGUGAAGUCCCUCGCGGAUGGAGCUGAAAUCAGUCGAAGAUACCAGCUGGCUGCAACUGUUUAUUAAAAACACAGCACUGUGCAAACACGAAAGUGGACGUAUACGGUGUGACGCCUGCCCGGUGCCGGAAGGUUAAUUGAUGGGGUCAGCGCAAGCGAAGCUCUUGAUCGAAGCCCCGGUAAACGGCGGCCGUAACUAUAACGGUCCUAAGGUAGCGAAAUUCCUUGUCGGGUAAGUUCCGACCUGCACGAAUGGCGUAAUGAUGGCCAGGCUGUCUCCACCCGAGACUCAGUGAAAUUGAACUCGCUGUGAAGAUGCAGUGUACCCGCGGCAAGACGGAAAGACCCCGUGAACCUUUACUAUAGCUUGACACUGAACAUUGAGCCUUGAUGUGUAGGAUAGGUGGGAGGCUUUGAAGUGUGGACGCCAGUCUGCAUGGAGCCGACCUUGAAAUACCACCCUUUAAUGUUUGAUGUUCUAACGUUGACCCGUAAUCCGGGUUGCGGACAGUGUCUGGUGGGUAGUUUGACUGGGGCGGUCUCCUCCUAAAGAGUAACGGAGGAGCACGAAGGUUGGCUAAUCCUGGUCGGACAUCAGGAGGUUAGUGCAAUGGCAUAAGCCAGCUUGACUGCGAGCGUGACGGCGCGAGCAGGUGCGAAAGCAGGUCAUAGUGAUCCGGUGGUUCUGAAUGGAAGGGCCAUCGCUCAACGGAUAAAAGGUACUCCGGGGAUAACAGGCUGAUACCGCCCAAGAGUUCAUAUCGACGGCGGUGUUUGGCACCUCGAUGUCGGCUCAUCACAUCCUGGGGCUGAAGUAGGUCCCAAGGGUAUGGCUGUUCGCCAUUUAAAGUGGUACGCGAGCUGGGUUUAGAACGUCGUGAGACAGUUCGGUCCCUAUCUGCCGUGGGCGCUGGAGAACUGAGGGGGGCUGCUCCUAGUACGAGAGGACCGGAGUGGACGCAUCACUGGUGUUCGGGUUGUCAUGCCAAUGGCACUGCCCGGUAGCUAAAUGCGGAAGAGAUAAGUGCUGAAAGCAUCUAAGCACGAAACUUGCCCCGAGAUGAGUUCUCCCUGACUCCUUGAGAGUCCUGAAGGAACGUUGAAGACGACGACGUUGAUAGGCCGGGUGUGUAAGCGCAGCGAUGCGUUGAGCUAACCGGUACUAAUGAACCGUGAGGCUUAACCUU